GACGAACGCUGGCGGCAUGCUUAACACAUGCAAGUCGAACGAUUGCCCUCGGGUGAUGGUGGCUCACGGGUGCGUAACGGGUUGGAAUCCGCCCUUAUGUUCGGCAUAACAGUUUGAAACGGCUGCUAAUACCGGAUGAUAACGCCAGAUCAAAGAUUGAUCGGCUGAGGAUGGGCUGGCGUUGGUUUGGGUGGUGGGUGGGGGAAUGGCCUACCAAGCCGGCGGUCCAUGGCUGGUCUGAGAGGAUGAUCAGCCACGCUGGGACUGAGACACGGCACAGACUCGGACGGGAGGCAGGGGUGGGGAAUAUUGGGCGAUGGACGCAAGCCUGAUCAAGCAAUGCCGCGGGAGUGAUGCAGGCCGUAGGGAAGUAAAGCUCUUUUGCCCGGGAAGAUAAUGACUGUACCGGGAGAAUAAGCCCCGGCUAACUCCGUG
rnacentral:rRNA from 1 species